rnacentral:rRNA from 1 species
UCGGCGCGAUUCGCCUUACGGCUCAGUACACGUGGACAAUCUAACCUAUGGAAGGGGAUAAUCCCGGGAAACUGGGGAUAAUACCCUAUAGACUAUAGAUGCUGGAAUGCUCUGUAGCCGAAAGGUCCGCCGCCAUAGGAUGGGUCUGCGGCCGAUUAGGUUGUUGCUGGGGUAACGGCCCAACAAGCCUGUAAUCGGUACGGGUUGUGGGAGCAAGAGCCCGGAGAUGGAUUCUGAGACACGAAUCCAGGCCCUACGGGGCGCAGCAGGCGCGAAAACUUUACAAUGCGGGAAACCGUGAUAAGGGAACUCUGAGUGCCCGUAAAAUCGGGCUGUCCAUCAGUGUAAAAAACUGGUGAAGAAAGGGCCGGGCAAGACCGGUGCCAGCCGCCGCGGUAAUACCGGCGGCUCGAGUGGUGGCCACUAUUUACUGGGCUUAAAGCGUUCGUAGCUGGUUUGUUAAGUCUCUGGGGAAAUCUUCCGGCUUAACCGGAAGGCGUCUCAGGGGGUACUGGCAAACAAUGGGACUCGGGAUAGGUUGUAUGUAGUUCCAGG